rnacentral:rRNA from 1 species
GACGAACGCUGUCGGCGUGCUUAACACAUGCAAGUCGAACGGAAAGGCCCUGCUUUUGUGGGGUGCUCGAGUGGCGAACGGGUGAGUAACACGUGAGUAACCUGCCCUUGACUUUGGGAUAACUUCAGGAAACUGGGGCUAAUACCGGAUAGGAGCUCCUGCUGCAUGGUGGGGGUUGGAAAGUUUCGGCGGUUGGGGAUGGACUCGCGGCUUAUCAGCUUGUUGGUGGGGUAGUGGCUUACCAAGGCUUUGACGGGUAGCCGGCCUGAGAGGGUGACCGGCCACAUUGGGACUGAGAUACGGCCCAGACUCCUACGGGAGGCAGCAGUGGGGAAUAUUGCACAAUGGGCGGAAGCCUGAUGCAGCAACGCCGCGUGCGGGAUGACGGCCUUCGGGUUGUAAACCGCUUUCGCCUGUGACGAAGCGUGAGUGACGGUAAUGGGUAAAGAAGCACCGGCUAACUACGUGCCAGCAGCCGCGGUGAUACGUAAGGUGCGAGCGUUGUCCGGAUUUAUUGGGCGUAAAGGGCUCGUAGGGUGGUUGAUCGCGUCGAAAGUGUAAUCUUGGGGCUUAACCCUGAGCGUGCUUUCGAUACGGGUUGACUUGAGGAAGGUAGGGGAGAAUGGAAUUCCUGGUGGAGCGGUGGAAUGCGCAGAUAUCAGGAGGAACACCAGUGGCGAAGGCGGUUCUCUGGGCCUUUCCUGACGCUGAGGAGCGAAAGCGUGGGGAGCGAACAGGCUUAGAUACCCUGGUAGUCCACGCUGUAAACGGUGGGUACUAGGUGUGGGGUCCAUUCCACGGGUUCCGUGCCGUAGCUAACGCUUUAAGUACCCCGCCUGGGGAGUACGGCCGCAAGGCUAAAACUCAAAGGAAUUGACGGGGCCCCGCACAAGCGGCGGAGCAUGCGGAUUAAUUCGAUGCAACGCGUAGAACCUUACCUGGGUUUGACAUGGAUCGGGAGUGCUCAGAGAUGGGUGUGCCUCUUUUGGGGUCGGUUCACAGGUGGUGCAUGCCUGUCGUCAGCUCGUGUCGUGAGAUGUUGGGUUAAGUCCCGCAACGAGCGCAACCCUUGUUCACUGUUGCCAGCACGUUAUGGUGGGGACUCAGUGGAGACCGCCGGGGUCAACUCGGAGGAAGGUGGGGAUGACGUCAAGUCAUCAUGCCCCUUAUGUCCAGGGCUUCACGCAUGCUACAAUGGCUGGUACAGAGAGCGGCGAGCCUGUGAGGGUGAGCGAAUCUCGGAAAGCCGGUCUCAGUUCGGAUUGGGGUCUGCAACUCGACCUCAUGAAGUCGGAGUCGCUAGUAAUCGCAGAUCAGCAACGCUGCGGUGAAUACGUUCCCGGG